rnacentral:rRNA from 1 species
AAGUCUGGUGCCAGCAGCCGCGGUAAUUCCAGCUCCAAUAGCGUAUAUUAAAGUUGUUGCAGUUAAAAAGCUCGUAGUUGAAUUUCGGGGUUAGUAGGUUGGUCAUGCCUCUGGUAUGUACUGGUCUCACUGAUUCCUCCUUCCUUAUGAGCCGUAAUGCCAUUAAUUUGGUGUUGCGGGGAAUUUGGACUGUUACUUUGAAAAAAUUAGAGUGUUUAAAGCAAGCUAACGCUUGAAUACAUUAGCAUGGAAUAAUGAAAUAGGACGUUCGAUCUUAUUUUGUUGGUUUCUAGGAUUGACGUAAUGAUUAAUAGGGAUAGUUGGGGGCAUUAGUAUUCAAUUGUCAGAGGUGAAAUUCUUGGAUUUAUUGAAGACUAACUACUGCGAAAGCAUUUGCCAAGGAUGUUUUCAUUAAUCAAGAACGAAAGUUAGGGGAUCGAAGACGAUCAGAUACCGUCGUAGUCUUAACCAUAAACUAUGCCGACUAGGGAUCGGAUGAUGUUAAUUUUUUAAUGACUCAUUCGGCGCCUUACGGGAAACCAAAGUGUUUGGGU